rnacentral:lncRNA from 1 species
CUCUUCAAUUUCUUAUUAGAUGUAUGUCCUAGAAACCAAUAUGACUGACAUAUUAUAAUAAAUUUAAGAUAUAAUUUUAUAUUUUAAAUAUUAAUUUGAUCAAUAAAAUAAUAAAUUUAUUUUUUAUUUAAGUGUGAUGUAUCCUUGAAUCGUCCAUAGAAUUAAUUUUUGAUACAUAUUCUCAAAGUAUUGAGAAUUAAAGACAUAUAUUUAAUUCUUAAAAUCUCCGAUCAU